AUUUACAGUUUAGAAAAAUAUUCAUAUAAAACUUAUUAAAUUAACAUAGACAAUCACAUUCUAUAAAAAAUUAGAAAAAAAAACUAUAUUUAUAUUUUAAAUAAAAUAAAUUUAAAAAAAUUAAUUUUUUGCACAAAGCUUGUAUUGUCUAAAAAAUUUUAUUAGUAUGAGUUUAUUUAUAAGUAUUUUUAUUUACCUAUAUACAUAUAUUAUUUAUUUAUUUAGCUAUUUAUUUAUUUAUUAUUAUUAUUAAUUUGUGGGUGAUCCUAUCCCUCACCAACUGCUGCAGUUGGAACUACGACCAAUUUGGAUGUAGUUCCAACUGCAGGAUUUGGGCCUUCUUGUGCAGUUGGAACUGCAGCAGUUGAACUCAACUACACUAAACCAAACAAUUGUGGCUGCACGCAUUUGCAACUGUACUGCAGUUACAAAUGCGUACAACCAAACAGCCCCUAGUUGGAGAAUAUUUUGGAGAGGGUGAUGGGAGG
rnacentral:lncRNA from 1 species